GAUGAACGCUGGCGGCGUGCCUAAUACAUGCAAGUCGAGCGAACGGACGAGAAGCUUGCUUCUCUGAUGUUAGCGGCGGACGGGUGAGUAACACGUGGAUAACCUACCUAUAAGACUGGGAUAACUUCGGGAACCGGAGCUUAUUCCGGAUAAUUUUUUUGAACGCAUUGUUCAAAAGGGAAAGAAGGUCUUGCUUUUCCCUAUAGAUGGAUCCGCGCUGCAUUAGCUAGUUGGUAAGGUAACGGCUUACCAAGGCAACGAUGCAUAGCCGACCUGAGAGGGUGAUCGGCCACACUGGAACUGAGACACGGUCCAGACUCCUACGGGAGGCAGCAGUAGGGAAUCUUCCGCAAUGGGCGAAAGCCUGACGGAGCAACGCCGCGUGAGUGAUGAAGGUCUUCGGAUCGUAAAACUCUGUUAUUAGGGAAGAACAUAUGUGUAAGUAACUGUGCACAUCUUGACGGUACCUAAUCAGAAAGCCACGGCUAACUACGUG
rnacentral:rRNA from 1 species